rnacentral:ncRNA from 1 species
CUAUAUGGACUAACCGUGACAUACUGUGAAACUGCGAAUGGCUCAUUAAAUCAGUUAUCGUUUAUUUGAUUGUACCUUUACCACUUGGAUAACCGUGGUAAUUCUAGAGCUAAUACAUGCGAAAAGUCCCGACUUUGGAAGGGAUGA